CAAAAAGGAAGCAAAUUUUGGGAGAGCAGUGUUGACUUUGUUAUUGGCGUGACAGCCCACCUUCUGGUGACAGGCUGUGGGAUCAUGCCGAGGAUGACGGUUUAGAUGGCCCCUUCAGUUUGGGAGAUGACGUGGUUGGGCUCAACAUGGACUCAGGCAAUUCCUGUCUGGGAACAGGAUUCGAGGGCUUCCAAGACGAUUCUUUAGAGACAGGCUGUGUGGCAGAAAGAACGAGCCCCUCGCUUAACCUAACUUCCAGCGAAGCCUGGCCUCAUCCGUCUCCUGUCGCUUUAGAUUCCACCUUCUUCUCUUCAUCAUUUUCUGAGCUGCUGCCAAAGCCGGUAAUAAGAUGUAGGGCCGGUAAGAAGGAGAAGCAAUGGGGGGAAGAGGGGAAAGUUUCCCUUGAAGUGGAAAGUUUUCAUCUAGGAA